CACGUAGGCACCAAGCGUUGUCCGGAUUUAUUGGGCGUAAAGAGCUCGUAGGCGGCUCAGUAAGUCGGGUGUGAAACCCCCGGGCUCAACCCGGGGACGCCACCUGAUACUGCUGUGGCUUGAGUCCGGUAGGGGAGCGUGGAAUUCCUGGUGUAGCGGUGAAAUGCGCAGAUAUCAGGAGGAACACCAGCGGCGAAGGCGGCGCUCUGGACCGGUACUGACGCUGAGGAGCGAAAGCGUGGGGAGCGAACAGG
rnacentral:rRNA from 1 species